rnacentral:siRNA from 1 species
UGGGUCAACUAUGGCUGGU